rnacentral:pre_miRNA from 1 species
AAGUUACUCCCUCCGUUUCAAAUUACUCGUCGUAGAAAUGGAUGUAUCUAGAACUAAAAUACAUUAGAUACAUCCAUUUCUGCGACGAGUAAUUCGGAACGGAGGAAGUACAAU